rnacentral:rRNA from 1 species
CCCAUUCCGAACCCGGAAGCUAAGGUCACCUGCGCCGAUGGUACUGCACUCGACAGGGUGUGGGAGAGUAGGUCACCGCCGGAA